rnacentral:rRNA from 1 species
GGCGGCGUGCUUAACACAUGCAAGUCGAGCGGAGAAUGCAGCAAUGUAUUCUUAGCGGCGGACGGGUGAGUAACGCGUGGGCAACCUGCCUUAAACUGGGGGAUAACACUGGGAAACUAGUGCUAAUACCGCAUAACAUAUAUUUUUGGCAUCAAAGAUAUAUCAAAGGAGCAAUCCGGUAUAAGAUGGGCCCGCGUCCGAUUAGCUAGUUGGUGAGGUAACGGCUCACCAAGGCGACGAUCGGUAGCCGAACUGAGAGGUUGAUCGGCCACAUUGGGACUGAGACACGGCCCAGACUCCUACGGGAGGCAGCAGUGGGGAAUAUUGCGCAAUGGGGGAAACCCUGACGCAGCAACGCCGCGUGAAGGAUGAAGGUUUUCGGAUCGUAAACUCCUUUGAUUAGGGACGAAUAAUGACGGUACCUAAAAAACAAGCCACGGCUAACUACGUGCCAGCAGCCGCGGUAAUACGUAGGUGGCGAGCGUUGUCCGGAAUUACUGGGUGUAAAGGGCGUGUAGGCGGGUUAUUAAGUCAGAUGUGAAAUUCCAGAGCUCAACUCUGGCGCUGCAUCUGAAACUGGUAAUCUUGAGUGCUGGAGAGGAAAGCGGAAUUCCUAGUGUAGCGGUGAAAUGCGUAGAUAUUAGAGGAACACCAGUGGCGAAGCGGCUUUCUGGACAGUAACUGACGCUGAGCGCGAAAGCGUGGGGGAGCAAACAGGAUUAGAUACCCGGGUAUCACGCUGUAAACGAUGGAUACUAGGUGUAGGGGGUAUCGACCCCUUCUGUGCCGCAGUUAACACAAUAAGUAUCCCACCUGGGGAGUACGGCCGCAAGGUUGAAACUCAAGGGAAUUGACGGGGG